rnacentral:tRNA from 1 species
UUAAAGAUAAGCUAAUGUAAGCUGACGGGUUCAUACCCCGUUUAUGAGAUCCCUCUCUUUAAA